GGGCGCUAGGCGGCAGCAUCCUUAGGUGCUUUUGGACAUCCUGACUUCUGAGGUAUGCUCGUCCUCUCUGUGUCCAGCUGACAGGAUACAUCACCAGAAACUAUACUUGCAACUGGCCAUCAGGGCUGGGAUGCUCCCUGGACUUUACAGAGCUGUGACUGUACUGAGAAGAAACAAAGAGAAGACAGUCCCAUCCCUGCAGUUCUCUGAGAAUGAUGACUGUUUUCAACAGACCCAGCUCAUCAGUUUACAAACAGCAGUCAGCAACCACCAACAUUCAGAUUAAACCUGCUUUGUUAUUUUGGGGAGAAAAUAUUUCCUGAGCUGUACCUUUGAUGCCGCAAGAUGAUUACUAAGACAUGGCCCAGGGUGAGCACCUGUCCUUCCUGGUUCAUCUUCUUCCCAUACCUGUCUGCAGCUCCUCCUCCAAGAGCCUGAGAGGCAACCAUGCCUCCUCUCGGCUAUUCAGCUGCUGUGUGACAAGCCUCGCUCAGCCACUCUGGAAAGAGGGGAAGGCAGCCUGGCCUGGCCUUAACCACAGAGUCCUUGAGCCAAACUCAAUAAGGAGACAUAAAAAAACAAUCUAAUAAAGGCACAUCAUAAACUCUACUUUUUACCUCACCGUUUAAAAUUACCCAUCAGAUAAAAAGCAUACAUAUAGGUCACACAAGUACCUAAUAUGAUUUUUUUACUACAGAAUCUCAUGGAUUGGUAUUUAAAUAUUAAUGAAGCACUACAGGCAGCAUACAAAGCAAGAAUAGAUGUGAAAGUAUAAAACACACAUUUAAUUCUAUUUAAAACAAGUUAAAAUUUUCACGAUAAAACUUCUCAUUAAUUGUAAAUCACAAACUUUAAUAUUUGGAACUAUAUAAUAUACUUGGGAUAUUGAUUAAUGCCCCCUCUCCUUUCAGAUAUUAAAUAUUAUUAUUCAAAUGAAAAUUCUAUUUCUGUUUCUAUGUAUAUCUGACAUUUACAUGUGGUGAAAAGGGGUAAAUAAAGUUACUUAAAGUCUUAAAGUAAAUCUUUAAAAACUUUUUUCAGAAGGUUUAAGACAUCACAUUUUUCUCAUGAGCACAAAAUUUACAGUCAAAAGUUGCACAUAAAGGGUUUAUUUUAAAUGUUUUAAGGAUAAGAUAGAGUUACAUCAUAAUUAUAAAAAUUACUUACAGAAUUAACAGAUUUAUAUUGUUUAUACUUCUAAAUGCAGAGAACAGGGAACUGUCUACACAUUGUAUAAAAUAAAAAUAAAAUUAAAAAUGAAUUCAAGCUUGAAAGAUGAGGUCAUUACCUAAUUUUAAGAUGCGAACACGAAGACCUCUGAACUAUACACAUUCGUUCAAACUGCACUACAAUGAUGGAAAAUACAAAAAGCGCAGCAUUUCCAAGGAACCACAGACAUUUUGACCAUAAUUAUUUGUUCCUGUUUUGUCUUUGGAAAAGUUUCAUUUUUUUUUUAAGACAAUCAGCUUAAGAAUGUUUUCAGGCACUACAAUUUGUAACAAUCGGAAUAGUUUUCUAAUGGGUCCACAACGUUCAGAGAUUCAAGCCCAAUGCACUUCGGGGUUUGGCACAUAAAACAAUAAUAGAAAUGAAAUCUGGUCUACCGAUAACUGUGAUUGUUUUAAGAUGCACAGUCCCUUCAAAUGCUGCAUGACACAUACAAGUGGAAAGUCACCUUCUGUUGGCACUACGUUUGCUUCACCAGUGCAUUUUAUCCUACAACCACUAAGACAGCACAGUAAGCAAAUAUACAGAAAACUGAAAACAAGUAAAAACAAGGAUAGAAAACAAAAAAACCUAAAUAUCUUCAACAUGCAUUUUUCGUUAGUUACAUUGAACAUUCUACUUAGAAUAGAGCAUGCAAAAAAGGAUGGUCUGCUUUUAAAGUUUUCCUUUGAAGCUUUCCGUGGCAGCCAGACAUCACACACACGCACACAGGACACAGUAAUACUAUAGCAGGUCAAUGAGGAAGGCCAAUACAUUUUAUACAGAGAUUCAUGUCUCGUAUUGUCACAAGUCCCAUGAUGAUUUUGGAAAUUAAUGUUGGAUUCCUAGGAAAAGGAACCAACAUCCAGAUACCAGGAAAAUGCAAGCAAUGCAUGCAGAUCUGAAACAUGAGCCUAAAAUGAAGCCUGAAAUACUCGGCUAGGGAGAUUAGUCACAGCAUCACUAAGUGUGGUUUAAGCCACCAAAAAAGAAAAAAAGAAAAAAAUGGAAAAACAAACAAAAACCCCUUUCCCCUCCUUCAGCCCUAAAGGCAAAAACAAACAAUCAAACAAACAAAAUCCCCCAGAAACAAUAAUUAAAAUAAUAACAAUAAUCACUUGUCACAUUCAUCUAGAGAGUGGCAGAUCAUGUGGUACUGAAGUUGCUAAAGGUACUUGCAGAAAAACCACAAUACAAGCCAUUAAGUAAUGCUAGAAAUGUUUCAACUGACCCAACCUGCAGGAUACUUCCAAAGAACUUUGCUUUCCAGCCCAAAGUCACUGUGCUAUGUUUGUGUAGUGCACGUGCUGGACACACUGGGCCACACAUGUUCACUUGGGCUUGGGGGAUUGGGCUUAGCCUUGAGAUUCAAAUGCAGGCACUCCUACAAGAACCAUCAGGAAAACAGCUGACAUAUAUGCAGCAUGACACUGGUUCAAACAAGGGAGGGGCGUCUAAGACCUGGGUACUCACUGCAAGGAGAAGCUUGCCCCUGGCUGCUGAGGCACUGGACAUGCUGCAGAAAAUGCGGGGUGUGUACAUGGUGCGUGAGGUGACCAUCCAACAGAACUAGAUACAUCAUUCCUGAAGAUGAAGUGGGCAUCAUGUGAACCACACAUUAGACCUUGGAACUACAAAAUCCCUAACAUCAAGGACGGCCAUAAAGGAGGCUGCAUAGACCUCUAAUGUUUGACUGAUAGCGUGAUCGGUUAGUCUUCUGCCCAAAUCUCAGUUAAGAUUUCCAACCUCCCCAAUAGACUGGUGUCACAUAAGGCCUCUUAGCUUUCAAACCAUGAGGGCUUAUCUAAAACAAAGUGACAGGUGGGUGUCUUGCUGUUAAACCAACUACUUUUUUGGUUAAAACAACCUUGAAGGAAUAAGCCAUGGAAAGAGUCUGUGGCUAAUAAAGGCUGCUAUCAGUCACACCUACAAAUGAGUAUGGCCAACUGACCCUGGUAUGAGAGAGUCCCCAGCAGCAGCACACAGUGAGCAAGGACAUAUAGUGUCAGGGGAUUUUAGCUAGUAUUUGCUAGAUAUUCUUUGUGGGGAAAGCCAGUGGAAAAAAGCCUUUGGACCAUAAUCAUAUAUUAGUAAUAACAGUAAUUAAAACACAAGUUUCCUAGAGAACUUGUUAAAGGGCAAUGCUGUCAUUUUCCAACUUACAUUAAUAAAAAGUACUAUGUUCUUCCAGGAACUUACCACAUACACACAAAUGACUGAUGUGCUGUUGGUUUUAAAUCUGUGUACCAAAAUCCAGAUUACUGAUUUGUACAAAUAAUGGACCCAAUGUGCGCCCAAAAUACACUGGCAUUACACUGUGUGGACCAAGCACCUGGGCUUUGCUUAAAAAAAAAAAAAAGUAUUUGAUUAAAAA